UACGAAGGGGCUAGCGUUGUUCGGAAUUACUGGGCGUAAAGCGCGCGCAGGUGGUCUUUCAAGUCAGUGGUGAAAGCCCGGAGCUCAACUCCGGAAAUGCCAUUGAAACUGUGAGACUUGAGGACGAGAGAGGUGAGUGGAAUUCCCAGUGUAGAGGUGAAAUUCGUAGAUAUUAGGGAAAGAACACCGGGUGGCGAAGG
rnacentral:rRNA from 1 species